GGCCAGGUGGCGGAGUGGUUAACGCGGUAGACUCGAAUGAAAAUUGGCACUUCGGGCCAAUUUGCAUAAGUGCAAUCUACUUCCUUCGGGAGCGUCUGUUCGAAUCAGGCCCUGGUCG